CCCUUAGAUGUCCUGGGCCGCACGCGCGCUACACUGACAUGUUCAACAAGCCUCCUAGUUCGACAGGAUUUGGGAAAUCUUUGAACGCAUGUCGUGAUAGGGAUAGAUCAUUGCAAUUAUUGAUCUUGAACGAGGAAUACCUUGUAAGCGCGGGUCAUCAUCCCGCGCUGAAUACGUCCCUGCCCUUUGUACACACCGCCCGUCGCUCCUACCGAUUGAGUGGUCCGGUGAGGCUUUGGGAUCUGAGCGGAAAGAGCGUUUCGCUGUUUCUGCUCGGAAAACUCAGUCGAACCUUAUCAUUUAGAGGAAGGAGAAGUCGUAACA
rnacentral:rRNA from 1 species